UGCAGAAUUCAGUGAAUCAUCGAAUCUUUGAAC
rnacentral:rRNA from 1 species